UGGUGGAGUGAUUUGUCUGGUUAAUUCCGAUAACGAACGAGACCUUAACCUGCUAAAUAGUCACACUCACUAAGGUGGGUGCUUUGACUUCUUAGAGGGACUGUGCACGUUUAGUGCACGGAAGUUUGAGGCAAUAACA
rnacentral:rRNA from 1 species